CCUACGGGUGGCAGCAGUGAGGAAUAUUGGUCAAUGGACGAGAGUCUGAACCAGCAAAGUAGCGUGAAGGAUGACUUCCCUAUGGGUUGUAAACUUCUUUUGUAUGGGAGUAAAAUGUUCCACGUGUGUGAUUUUGUAUGGACCAUAUGAAUAAGGAUCGGCUAACUCCGUGCCAGCAGCCGCGGUAAUACGGAGGAUCCGAGCGUUAUCCGGAUUUAUUGGGUUUAAAGGGAGCGCAGGUGGAUUGUUAAGUCAGUUGUGAAAGUUUGCGGCUCAACCGUAAAAUUGCAGUUGAAACUGGCAGUCUGGAGUACAGUAGAGGCGGGCGGAAUUCGUGGUGUAGCGGUGAAAUGCUUAGAUAUCACGAAGAACUCCGAGUGCGAAGGCAGCUCACUGGACUGCAACUGACACUGAGGCUCGAAAGUGUGGGUAUCAAACAGGAUUAGAUACCCCAGUAGUC
rnacentral:rRNA from 1 species